AUUCCAGCUCCAGUAGCGUAUAUUAAAGUUGUUGCAGUUAAAAAGCUCGUAGUUGGAUUUCUGGUUUCACAGAACUGGCCUACUUCCUCAAGGUCGUGUGCGCCGUGUUUUGUGUACCAUCCUUCUAGAAAUUGUGUUCCAUCCCUUCACUGGGAUAGAUCCGAGAUCUAGAUCUUUUACUUUGAAGAAAUUAGAGUGUUCAAAGCAGGCUCGCGCUGUGAAUACAUUAGCAUGGAAUAACGAAUGGGUCUACAAUUUGGUUGAUUGUAGAUUGCGAUUAAUAGGGACAGUUGGGGGCAUUAGUAUUUAAUUGUCAGAGGUGAAAUUCUUGGAUUAGUUAAAGACUAACGUAUGCGAAAGCAUUUGCCAAGGAUGUUUUCAUUG
rnacentral:rRNA from 1 species